rnacentral:rRNA from 1 species
GACGAACGCUGGCGGCGUGCUUAACACAUGCAAGUCGAGCGGUAAGGCCCUUUCGGGGGUACACGAGCGGCGAACGGGUGAGUAACACGUGGGUGACCUGCCCUCAGCUCUGGGAUAAGCCUGGGAAACCGGGUCUAAUACUGGAUAUGACUCCAUGACGCAUGUUGUGGGGUGGAAAGCCUUGUGCGGCUGAGGAUGGGCCCGCGGCCUAUCAGCUUGUUGGUGGGGUGAUGGCUUACCAAGGCGACGACGGGUAGCCGGCCUGAGAGGGCGACCGGCCACACUGGGACUGAGACACGGCCCAGACUCCUACGGGAGGGCAGCAGUGGGGAAUCUUGCGCAAUGGGGCGAAAGCCUGACGCAGCGACGCCGCGUGAGGGAUGACGGCC